rnacentral:rRNA from 1 species
UACAGAGGUCUCAAGCGUUGUUCGGAUUCAUUGGGCGUAAAGGGUGCGUAGGCGGCGCGGUAAGUCGGGUGUGAAAUCUCGGAGCUUAACUCCGAAACUGCAUUCGAUACUGCCGUGCUUGAGGACUGGAGAGGAGACUGGAAUUUACGGUGUAGCGGUGAAAUGCGUAGAUAUCGUAAGGAAGACCAGUGGCGAAGGCGGGUCUCUAGACAGUUCCUGACACUGAGGCACGAAGGCCAGGGGAGCAAACGGG